AGAACGAACGCUGGCGGCACGCCUAACACAUGCAAGUCGAGCGCCCAGCAAUGGGAGCGGCGGACGGGUGAGUAACACGUGGGAACAUGCCUUUCGGUACGGAACAACUGCGGGAAACUGCAGCUAAUGCCGUAUACGCCCUUACGGGGAAAGAUUUAUCGCCAAAAGAUUGGCCCGCGUCUGAUUAGCUAGUUGGUGAGGUAACGGCUCACCAAGGCUUCGAUCAGUAGCUGGUUUGAGAGAACGACCAGCCACAUUGGGACUGAGACACGGCCCAAACUCCUACGGGAGGCAGCAGUGGGGAAUCUUGGACAAUGGGGGAAACCCUGAUCCAGCGAUGCCGCGUGAGUGAUGAAGGCCUUCGGGUUGUAAAACUCCUUCGACGGGGACGAUAAUGACGGUACCCGUAGAAGAAGCUCCGGCUAACUUCGUGCCAGCAGCCGC
rnacentral:rRNA from 1 species